CUCGCAUCAACAUCAACAUUGAGGUGUCGGUGUACAUGAAGAAGAGAUAGAUUUGAAAGUCGCUCGUCUCCCAUUGUCGAUCUCAGGUAGGAUUUGACGCGUCUCAUCGCGCUGAAGGAUCUUUUACUAGUUGCCGAUGAAUUACAAUUUUAGCCUCUGUCAAAGAUUCAAUCAAAUCAAUAUCGGUUUUCUGUAAGUAAUUUGUCAAGGCGACUGUUGAGCUUAAUAUGUGUUCUGCAACAACAAGACUUAUGAUCAAAUCGAAGUAUCGCAUUCAUACUCUGUGCUGCUUUGUCAUCGUUGUCGUCUUUAAGUGAAUUGAGGGCAGAGACAACAACUUCAAAUGCUGUUCGAAAUGUAUACAGCGAAUCUGCCCGGCUUGACCAACGAGUUUCACACAGUGUUCUCAACUUUGUUCAACGUUCUAGUUGUUCUUGAACGUUUUCAUCUUUGAGCGAUAGUGAUUACUUGAUAGCACCCGCU
rnacentral:lncRNA from 1 species